rnacentral:rRNA from 1 species
UACGUAGGGUGCGAGCGUUAAUCGGAAUUACUGGGCGUAAAGCGUGCGCAGGCGGUUCGUUGUGUCCGGUGUGAAAGCCCCGAGCUUAACUUGGGAAUGGCAUUGGAAACUGGCGAGCUGGAGUGUGGCAGAGGGGGGUGGAAUUCCACGUGUAGCAGUGAAAUGCGUAGAGAUGUGGAGGAACACCGAUGGCCGGAAGGCAGCCCCCUGGGCCAACACGUGACGCUCAGGCGACGAAAGCGUGGGGAGCAAACAGG